UGGAGCAAUCCAUGAGUAGAGUGGCAAACGGGUGAGUAACACGUGGGUGACCUGCCUUCGAGCGGGGGAUAACGUCCCGAAAGGGACGCUAAUACCGCAUAACAUCCUGCCUUUGAAGAGGUGGAGAUCAAAGCUGGCGCAAGCUAGCACUCGAAGAGGGGCCCGCGUCCGAUUAGCUAGUUGGUGAGGUAACGGCUCACCAAGGCAACGAUCGGUAGCCGGCCUGAGAGGGCGGACGGCCACACUGGGACUGAGACACGGCCCAGACUCCUACGGGAGGCAGCAGUGGGGAAUUGUUCGCAAUGGGCGCAAGCCUGACGACGCAACGCCGCGUGGAGGAUGAAGAUCUUCGGGUCGUAAACUCCUUUCGAUCGAGACGAACGACUCCCGUUCUAAUCAGCGGGAGAGUGACGGUACCGAGAGAAGAAGCCCCGGCUAACUCCGUGCCAGCAGCCGCGGUAAUACGGGGGGGGCAAGCGUUGCUCGGAAUUACUGGGCGUAAAGGGCUCGUAGGCGGCCAACUAAGUCAGACGUGAAAUCCCUCGGCUUAACCGGGGAACUGCGUCUGAUACUGGAUGGCUCGAGUUUGGGAGAGGGAUGCGGAAUUCCAGGUGUAGCGGUGAAAUGCGUAGAUAUCUGGAGGAACACCGGUGGCGAAGGCGGCAUCCUGGACCAACACUGACGCUGAGGAGCGAAAGCCAGGGGAGCAAACGGGAUUAGAUACCCCGGUAGUCCUGGCCCUAAACGAUGAAUGCUUGGUGUGGCGGGUAUCGAUCCCUGCCGUGCCGAAGCUAACGCAUU
rnacentral:rRNA from 1 species